UACGUAGGGCGCAAGCGUUGUCCGGAAUUAUUGGGCGUAAAGAGCUCGUAGGCGGCUUGUCACGUCGGGUGUGAAAGCCCGGGGCUUAACCCCGGGUCUGCAUUCGAUACGGGCUAGCUAGAGUGUGGUAGGGGAGAUCGGAAUUCCUGGUGUAGCGGUGAAAUGCGCAGAUAUCAGGAGGAACACCGGUGGCGAAGGCGGAUCUCUGGGCCAACACUGACACUGAUGAGCGAAAGCCAGGGGAGCAAACGGG
rnacentral:rRNA from 1 species